GCGUCCGUGGUGUAGCGGUAACACACAGCCUUCUGUUAUUAAAAUUCGCAAGCGGUCAGGCCGAGUCCGGGGUUCGACCCCCCGCGGACGCA